ACUCCGACUUCAUGAGGUCGAGUUGCAGACCCCAAUCCGAACUGAGACCGGCUUUCCGAGAUUCGCUCACCCUCACAGGCUCGCCACUCUCUGUACCAGCCAUUGUAGCAUGCGUGAAGCCCUGGACAUAAGGGGCAUGAUGACUUGACGUCAUCCCCACCUUCCUCCGAGUUGACCCCGGCGGUCUCCACUGAGUCCCCACCAUAACGUGCUGGCAACAGUGAACAAGGGUUGCGCUCGUUGCGGGACUUAACCCAACAUCUCACGACACGAGCUGACGACAGCCAUGCACCACCUGUGAACCGACCCCAAAAGAGGCACACCCAUCUCUGAGCACUCCCGAUCCAUG
rnacentral:rRNA from 1 species